CACGUAGGGGGCGAGCGUUGUCCGGAUUUAUUGGGCGUAAAGAGCUCGUAGGUGGCUCGGUAAGUCGGGUGUGAAAUUUCGAGGCUCAACCUCGAGACGCCACCUGAUACUGCUGUGGCUAGAGUCCGGUAGGGGAGCGUGGAAUUCCUGGUGUAGCGGUGAAAUGCGCAGAUAUCAGGAGGAACACCAGCGGCGAAGGCGGCGCUCUGGGCCGGUACUGACACUGAGGAGCGAAAGCAUGGGGAUCAAACAGG
rnacentral:rRNA from 1 species